rnacentral:rRNA from 1 species
GAUGAACGCUGGCGGCGUGCCUAAUACAUGCAAGUCGAGCGAACAGACGAGGAGCUUGCUCCUCUGACGUUAGCGGCGGACGGGUGAGUAACACGUGGAUAACCUACCUAUAAGACUGGGAUAACUUCGGGAAACCGGAGCUAAUACCGGAUAAUAUAUUGAACCGCAUGGUUCAAUAGUGAAAGACGGUUUUGCUGUCACUUAUAGAUGGAUCCGCGCCGCAUUAGCUAGUUGGCAAGGUAACGGCUUACCAAGGCAACGAUGCGUAGCCGACCUGAGAGGGUGAUCGGCGACACUGGGACUGAGACACGGUCCAGACUCCUACGGGAGGCAGCAGUAGGGAAUCUUCCGCAAUGGGCGAAAGCCUGACGGAGCAACGCCGCGUGAGUGAUGAAGGUCUUCGGAUCGUAAAACUCUGUUAUUAGGGAAGAACAAAUGUGUAAGUAACUAUGCACGUCUUGACGGUACCUAAUCAGAAAGCCACGGCUAACUACGUG